GGGCUCCCUCAGAGGCGGUCUCCUCUCCCAGCUCUAAUCCCCUGUAUCAAAGAGAUGAGGCUUAAGGCCCCUGCAGCCACCCUGCCACCAUCCUGACCUGGCCCUGCAGGGGGCCCAAGCUGGGCAGGCAGAGGGGGCCAGGACAGGCUGGAUUCUGGGAAGGACUACCCGGAAGAGGCUGGAGGUGCAGGACCUCACCCAUGCAGCUGACAGGCAGCGAUCCAGUUCCGCAUGACCACCAGGAAGGUGUUCAAGUCCACAGUGGCUGCAGGACCCUCCCCAUUGGGGUCCAGGCUUUGGGUCAAUGUCUGGAGGCGUGCAUCCUGCGGUCCCUGGCCAGUCACAGCCUCUAGGUCAACUUUUCUAUCUGGAAGUGGGGCCCAGGUACCCCACCUCACCAAGCAGACCAAUGAGGACAGAGCUGAGGGACAGCAGCCUCAUUCCCACCAGGAUCCCAAAGACUUGCCACCUUCUGUUAUGGCCCCCAGGUUUGCCUUGGCCCCAUCCUCUUCUUUACUGAAUGAAGCUUCCCAUGGUCAGUCA